UACGUAGGGGGCGAGCGUUGUCCGGAGUUACUGGGCGUAAAGCGCACGCAGGCGGUCUGCUAAGUUUGGAGUGACAGUUGGUGGCUUAACUGCCAAAGUGCUUCGAAAACUGACAGACUUGAGGGCUUCAGAGGGACACGGAAUUCCGGGUGGAGUGGUGAAAUGCGUAGAGAUCCGGAGGAACACCAAAGGCGAAGGCAGUGUCCUGGGGAGUACCUGACGCUCGAGGUGCGAAAGCCAGGGGAGCG
rnacentral:rRNA from 1 species